AUUGAACGCUGGCGGCAUGCUUUACACAUGCAAGUCGAACGGUAACAGGCCUUCGGGUGCUGACGAGUGGCGAACGGGUGAGUAAUGCAUCGGAACGUACCCAGAGGUGGGGGAUAACGCAGCGAAAGCUGUGCUAAUACCGCAUGUGAUCUGAGGAUGAAAGCGGGGGACCGAGCAGCAAUGUUUGGCCUCGCGCCUUUGGAGCGGCCGAUGUCGGAUUAGCUAGUUGGUGGGGUAAAGGCCUACCAAGGCGACGAUCCGUAGCUGGUCUGAGAGGACGACCAGCCACACUGGGACUGAGACACGGCCCAGACUCCUACGGGAGGCAGCAGUGGGGAAUUUUGGACAAUGGGCGCAAGCCUGAUCCAGCGAUGCCGCGUGCGGGAAGAAGGCCUUCGGGUUGUAAACCGCUUUUGGCAGGAACGAAACGGUGUCCGCUAAUACCGGGCGCUAAUGACGGUACCUGCAGAAUAAGCACCGGCUAACUACGUG
rnacentral:rRNA from 1 species